UACGAAGGGGGCAAGCGUUAUUCGGAAUUAUUGGGCGUAAAGGGCGUGUAGGCGGCGCAAAAAGUCUGUUGUUUAAUCUCCCGGCCUAACCGGGAGCAUGCAGUGGAUACUGUUGUGCUAGAGUGCGGAAGAGGGAAAUGGAAUUCUCGGAGUAGCGGUAAAAUGCGUAGAUCUCGAGAGGAACGCCAAUGGCGAAGGCAAUUUCCUGGUACGCUACUGACGCUAAGACGCGAAGGCGUGGGGAGCAAACAGG
rnacentral:rRNA from 1 species